rnacentral:misc_RNA from 1 species
AUGUAUCAAAAGCAUAUGCUUUUGGAGUUUGGAGGCGUGCUGACCUUUCAAAGGCCAAGCUCCUCUCAAAUAGAUUAGCAACAAUCUUUUCCAUGCUUGCUCUGGCAUUGAUAAAAUGGCCAUGUCUGAGCUUCUGCUGGUCGCUGAAGAGUUGCUUAUAGUGGUCUGAGGACAAAAGCACA